GCGGUGCCCUGAAUGGCUGGCAAGGCGGCGAUGCUGAUGAUGUGGAGCCGUUCCAUUUGCCACUGCUGGGGAUAGGGUGCCACAGUGAUGAGAUGUUAACUACCUCGCCUGGUCUACAGGAGGCAGUGGGUUCAGAUCCCGACCCUGACGCCUGCUGCUGUAUAUUUGGAGUUUGCGUCUCUCUCUCUCAUCAUCAUCACGGUGGCUAAGGGAUGUUAUCUACCUCGCCUGGUCUGCAGGAGGUCGUGGGUUCGAUCCCGACCCUGAUCGAACAAAAUUUUCCGUCAUCACCCCCCCCCCUCUCUCCCCGGGACGUCGGGAAAAUGAAAAUGAAAAAAAAAUAUGUUUUUCGACGGGACGGCUGUGUGUAAGUUGGAGUCAAACGAAAACAAAACUCGGCCAAAUUGUCGUAUGUUCGAGAUACACACACACACACACACGGGUUAAACACAGUAUGCAGGCUGUUUUAUUUUCUCUAUAUAAUGUGUAAUUUUAUAAGCGCUGCCUAACGAGGUAUUUAGUUUCACGUUGGUGUAAAAACCAAAUGUGAACUUUGGGACGCUUCCAUUUGUCUUCGGCAGCCAAAGUUGACCGAGCGGGUGGGCGAGUGAUCGAGCGAAGUUCGCGUGUAAAUUGUUUGCAAGUCUUAUUAAAAUCUUGGAGAUUAAA